rnacentral:rRNA from 1 species
GACGAACGCUGGCGGCGUGCUUAACACAUGCAAGUCGAACGGAAAGGCCCUGCCUUUGUGGGGUGCUCGAGUGGCGAACGGGUGAGUAACACGUGAGUAACCUGCCCUUGACUUUGGGAUAACUUCAGGAAACUGGGGCUAAUACCGGAUAGGAGCUCCUGCUGCAUGGUGGGGGUUGGAAAGUUUCGGCGGUUGGGGAUGGACUCGCGGCUUAUCAGCUUGUUGGUGGGGUAGUGGCUUACCAAGGAUUUGACGGGUAGCCGGCCUGAGAGGGUGACCGGCCACAUUGGGACUGAGAUACGGCCCAGACUCCUACGGGAGGCAGCAGUGGGGAAUAUUGCACAAUGGGCGGAAGCCUGAUGCAGCAACGCCGCGUGCGGGAUGACGGCCUUCGGGUUGUAAACCGCUUUCGCCUGUGACGAAGCGUGAGUGACGGUAAUGGGUAAAGAAGCACCGGCUAACUACGUG